rnacentral:rRNA from 1 species
GACGAACGCUGGCGGCGUGCCUAAUACAUGCAAGUCGAACGCAGUGGGGACGGGUGAGUAACACGUGGGUAACCUGCCAUCAGAGGGGAUAAAAGUUGGAAACAGGUGCUAAACCGAUACUGAUGGAUGGACUCGCGGUGGAUUAGCUAGUGGGGGGGGUAACGGCUCACCAAGGCAACGAUGCAUAGCUGACCUGAGAGGGUGAUCGGCCACACUGGGACUGAGACACGGCCCAGACUCCUACGGGAGGCAGCAGUAGGGAAUCUUGGGCAAUGGGCGCAAGUCUGACCGAGCCACGCCGCGGGUGUGAAGAAGGGCUUCGGAUCGUAAAACUCUGUUGUUGGGGAAGCGGUAUCUAACCAGAAAGCACCGGCUAACUCCGUGCCAGCAGCCGCGGUAAUAC